rnacentral:rRNA from 1 species
AUUGAACGCUGGCGGCAUGCUUUACACAUGCAAGUCGAACGGCAGCGCGGGCUUCGGCCUGGCGGCGAGUGGCGAACGGGUGAGUAAUGCAUCGGAACGUGCCCAGUAGUGGGGGAUAGCCCGGCGAAAGCCGGAUUAAUACCGCAUACGACCUGAGGGUGAAAGCGGGGGACCGAAAGGCCUCGCGCUAUUGGAGCGUCCGAUGUCGGAUUAGCUAGUUGGUGGGGUAAAGGCUUACCAAGGCGACGAUCCGUAGCUGGUCUGAGAGGACGACCAGCCACACUGGGACUGAGACACGGCCCAGACUCCUACGGGAGGUAGCAGUGGGGACUUUGGGACAAUGGGCGCAAGCCUGAUCCAGCCAUGCCGCGUGCGUGCAGAAGGCCUUCGGGUUGUAAACCGCUUUUGUUCGGGAAGAAAUCCUCUGGGCUAAUACCCCGGUGGGAUGACGGUACCGGAAGAAUAAGCACCGGCUAACUACGGU